rnacentral:tRNA from 1 species
UAGCUCAGUUGGUAGAGCAGAGGAUUGAAAAUCCUCGUGUCGGUGGUUCGAUUCCGC